ACUUAAAUAAUUUAAAUAAAAUAUUGAUUUGUGGGGUCAAAAAUGUGAAAAAUUCAUUUUAAGUU
rnacentral:tRNA from 1 species